UUCGACCUCAAAUCAGGUAGGACUACCCGCUGAACUUAA
rnacentral:rRNA from 5 species